CAGCCCUGAGCUAACUGCCAGCAAUCCUCCUCUUUUUGCUGGGGAAGACUGGCCCUGAGCUAAUAUCCGUGCCCAUCUUCCUCUACUGAAUAUGUGGGACGCCUACCACAGCAUGGCUUGACAAACGGUGCCAUGUCUGUACCCGGGAUCCGAACUGAUGAACCCCAGGCCACCGAAGCGGAACUUGCACACUUAACCGCUGUGCCACCGGGCUGGCACAGGGACAAGAUUAUUGAGAAGACCUCAAGGAACUGAGAGACCAGGGUCUUGGGUGAGUCAUCUACCAAGAUAAUGAAGUCACCAAGAAUUAUGAUGAGAUAAUGGUGGCGAUAGUGACAGUGAGGCACAGGCUCAUCCUCCAGCAAUGAGAAGGAUGUCCUGGGGGUCCAUCAGAGGCUGUGACAAGAGAGUCUAGCCUGAUGAUGUGCCUUUCUAAAGGGCGAGGGCUUCUGGAGGCAGGAGGGAGAAUGGUUGGGGGGUGACAAUGAGGAGCAAGGAAGUCACCCACCUCCCCUUCAGGCCCCUUGGUACAAGGGUAGUGGGACAGAAAACAAACCCAACCCAAGACGGCUACAGUGGAAGCUUGCUCUCGGAAAGGAGCCAGGUUUUGGUUAAAGGGAGAAUAGGAAAGGAAUAUUUAAAGAAGCUGAUGAUAUUUACUUUCUAUGCCCAGCACUCAGCUGGACACUGAGACAGUGAACAAAAGAGUGAAAUAUCCUCCCUCCUGGGCCUUAUGUUCCACCUGGUGAGACAGAGUAAACAAGAUUGAAAAAGUCAAAUAUAUAGUCUAUUAGAUAGUGCUAAAUAUUAGGGGAAAAAAUAAAGCAGUGAAGAAAGAUCGAAGUGUCAGUAAUUGGGAGUUAAAACUAUAAUAGUUAGCUAAGACAGGCUCCCUGAGAAGAAGACAUUGAGUAAAGGCCUGAAGGAAAUUGGAAAGCUGACCAGAGACCUGGGGGUAAGAAGAACAGCAACUGCAAAGGCCCUGAGGUGACAGCAUGCCCACGAUGUCUGAGGAAGAGCGAGGAGGUGAUACUGAUGCUAAUGCUGCUGGUCGGGGACCAGUUUUGAGAACCACAGGAGAAGUGCAUUACAGUCAGUUUGCCCCGCAGAAUGGAGCACCCAUUUGUGCCUCAUGAUGGUGAAUUCACUGAAGGCCGCCAGCAUGGCUGUGUUUUUGUCUCUGUCAUGCUCAGCUGCACUGGAACCGGCACAGAGCAGGCAGGGGUCGCCCGGCUCACUGGUGAUGCAGCUGGAAUAUCAACCCAGGCAAUCUGACUUUAGACUCCAAGCUUCGACCUACAAGAACUUACUUCAUCAGGAGCUAGAGUUACUGAGGAAUAUUAUCAGACCUGAUCCUCAAAUUUAGUAUUGGCAGUGUAAUGCUUUUAGGAAAACUGAAGAUGGAGGCAGAGACUGCAGUCAGGCAGCUGCAAGGUGAGGAACACCACGGACUGACGGCACCAGCAGAAACGAGGAAGAGGCAAGAAAGGAUUCUACCCAGAGCCUCAGAGAGAGCAUGGCCCUGCUGACACCUCGAUUUCAGACUUGUAGCCUCCAGAACUGGAGAUAAUAAAGCUCUGUUUUUCUAAGCCACCCAGUGUGUGGUACUGUGUUACAGCAGCCCUGGGAAACUAUACACCUUUCUGUGUUCAAAGCAAGUUCUAGUUCAAGCUGAAAGCAGGGCCUCUAGGAGCUGUCAGUUCCUCCUGCCCUCCUCUCCCCACAUUGUAGACAUAAUUCACUUACCUUCUACUUCCUUUGAAUCUUGCUGAACUCCCACGCCUUAUAGAUUCACUGGAAUUCGGUGCUCAUGGGGCAUGGAGAACACUAUACGCAAAUGGGGCAGCAAGGGACAGCAGACACCUACUGCACAACUCUCUGUUCAG
rnacentral:lncRNA from 1 species